rnacentral:lncRNA from 1 species
GCAUCUGGGGUGAAGACACAGAGCUGUGAAACUCUCAGCAUGGUAUUUGGGUGUCAAGAGAGUGCUCCACGUGCACUUCAGAGCUGGAUUCAAAGUUGUCUUCUGUUGCAUGUUUUACCUUCACUUCUGGCUUCCAUGGCACUGUUGCCACGUCUUCCACGUAAAUCAGAAGAUAACACAGUUGACUGCUUUUGACCAACCAGCAGAAUUACCCUCCCUACCCCCUUUUGGUUGUUUUUUGUUCUUGGCUUGUUUUUAAACACAGAUUGACAGUAGGGAGGAAACUGAUUUAGGGGUUGAACUGUGCCUUAAAGAAAGCUAUAGUUCUCCUAGAGUCUAUAGCAGUUGUUUAGAUUCUUGUUUCUUUCUCUCCACACCCAUAUGUAUAAUUUGAACAAGCUUUAUGUAACUAGACAUGGAAGUUUUCACUUGUAGGUCCAUAGGUGCCCUGCACGCCACCCAGAGAAGCCAGCACAAGGAGGGUAUGUUGUAGAAGUCCUACCUCCACCCUCUAAGGCUCAGCAUCAUGUGUUAGAGGUUUUGUACUCCGUUCUCAGCACACAAUUCCUACUUCCUUCCUUGUUCUCCUACAAGUAGGCUGUGCUCUCUCUUGGAGCACUUCCAUGUCUUCCCAAGCAAAUUGUCUCCAUAUAACCAUGUAUUAAUUCUCUACUGUUUAGUAUAAAUGAAAUUAACAUCUGCAACUCCUAGCACCAGAGAAAAUGAGCUGCAGGUUUGAUCACUGCGGAACCGCACCCCUGGCUGAAGGAGCAGCACAGAAGUUGGCAUGGCCUGUUAGUCCAUGGAAGCUGGAGGAGGCAAAGCUCGGGAGGUCAGCUUACAAAGAGGUAGCCCUGAAUCUGUGCAGGGGACCUGUGCUAGUUCUUCUCAAGCUCUGGCCAAAGUGAAACAGGUCAGAGCUCUUUUCACAGUGGUGAUUACUAGUGCCCAGACACAGGCCUACCAAAGCAGCUGAGGGACUCCGUGCUGUUAAUGCAUCCUCUUGGUGGCCUGUAGAGACCCCUCUGCUCCUGAGUGUUGGUAAAACAUGUAUGAAAGAAAUGGUGGCCCCUACCCCCAAAGAACAAGAGUUCUGUCACAGGCAGUUUUGUUUUGGCAAAGGCAAGGCACUUCCAUGAGGGAUGCGGAAGAACCUGUCCCAGUGGGCAGUAAGGAAGCGCCAGCUGUGUGGUUUCUAGGCCUGUGUUCAGUUGGCUUUUUAAACCAACUAGUAAUUUGAGUUUGGGAGUUUGGACACUUCCAACUGCCUUGAGACUGUUCCAAUGCCAGCAAAGCAUGCUGCUCCUUCUGCCAGGCUCCUUUGCCAAGUGUUGUGUCCUCCGCUCAGGGCUUUGGUCUCCUGUGGGCUGGCAGACAGGAAGGUGACCAGGAAGUACAUCAGGGUGAGUGUAGGCCUCUGAGGAUACAAAAAACCCCGGUUAGCCUGAAGGCCAGCUCUUAGGAACAAAUACUUUAUGUACUGAGCUGCCUCCAGCUCCUCCUGAUUUGAAUUUGCUUUUAUUUUUAGUUUUAUUUUUGAUGCACUGAACUGUGAUUCUGAAUCCCCCUUCAAGAAGGCAAGCAUGAGCCACCAUGCUCCUUGCUUCCCUGCUGCAGGGUAAAUACACAGGGAUUAUGUUGAGAAGGGGAGGUGAGGAAGGUCUUGCUGAAGGGAAUGUUAAUGUACAUUAAUUGCACAAUGUAUUGUUAUUAGGCUGUGUAUCAUUUUGUGUUGACUCCCGCUUUCAUUGUCUCUAUUACCAAUACAGCCCUUUUAGUUCA